GGCAUGGCAUGAAAAUACAGAUCUUUGAAGUCUGUGCUUUCAUACCUGGGUUUCCUUUGGGCCACGGAGUAUGCAUUUUUAAGAAUUAUUAAAAAUUCUCUGGGGCUUUGAUCUGGACGGCACUUUAAGUUAUAAAGCGCUUUCUUAGCAGAGGCAAUGGUUUUAUACUUACCAUAUUCCAUGAUUAUUUCAUAUUUCAUCUUGGACCAGGACAUUAACUGUAUAGCUUGAAGACUUUCUAGAUAAACACGGC